UGACACAGAGGACACCCCUGCAGGCUGCAGU
rnacentral:piRNA from 1 species